GCCGAUAUAGCUCAAUUGGCAGAGCAACUGAUUUGUAAUCAGUAGGUUUUCGGUUCAAGUCCGAAUAUCGGCU
rnacentral:tRNA from 3 species